GUCUCUCACUUCAACAGCAGCCGUUCUCCCCUUUCCCUGUCCAGUCAUUUUUCAGAUUGUUCUUCAACUCGUAUUUGAUUUUCAUUUCAAAUCACAAAAGUUUCUUUCGGAUUUUUUGUUUGUUUGUUUUUGUUUUUGAAUUUGUUGGAUUUUUGGGUGCAGUGAGACUUCGUGGAUAUUGUCUGUUCUGAAGUGAGAAACAGAAAGGGCUUACGUGUUCCAUAUAGAGCUGGUUACAAAGGUUUUGGUUAUCCUUCGUUUCCAAAAUAGUGGUCAUGUACUUCAGCAAAGAGUGGUCCAGCAUUCACCCUAUUCCAAAUAUCAAGAAAAACUUUUGGUUCCUAUUCUAAGCUAGCACAAAAUAAUCUAAAACUGGGAACUGAGAUACUUUGUACGUCAGACCAAAAGCAAAGUGAUUGGAUACCACACAUGGGCUUAGAAAUUUGAAAUAUAAAGUUAGGGAUAGUGGUUUUACAUUGCAAUCCUUCGCUACUUCAUUGCAUCGGUAAAAUUUCCUAUGAAAGUUCAUUGUAUUGCGGUCCAUUUGUUUGAUUUUCAAAUUGUCUUUUUCUUUGAGUGUGACUGAUCUGACAUUGUUUACUUUUUUUUCCUACUCUAUGUUUCUUUGGUCUACAUAUGGGUAUCUAUUGUUCAAACCAUGCAUUGCCUGAAUGGGGGACAAUUGUUCAUGAGCCAUAGUCACAACCUCUCCAAGCAUCAACAAUAGCUGCAAUGGCAAUGACACCAAGGUUCUUGAUUUAUUUGAGAUGAGUCAUUCUUCCACUAUUUGGUGCUCAUAAAUUCCUCCACUAUGGAAUUUGAGAAGUUGCUUAAUGCUUUGUUAGUGCUCUUUGAUAAUUUAUAUGUUGUUGAUAGGUUUUGAAUAAUUUGUACAGUUAUUAUCUGUGUUGUUAUUCUUAAAUUGUUGCUUUCAGUUAUAAUUCUGUUGUGGCUGUGUUUUGUAUAUGGUUUUUUCCUUAAUUAAAUUUGUGUAUCUAUUUAAUUGAUUAGUAGAUUGGUUUAGAAUU